rnacentral:tRNA from 1 species
UAAAAUGAGAAUGAGAUAUCAGGAAUAGUC